rnacentral:rRNA from 1 species
CCGUCUGGCGAAAGGGAAGCCGGUUAACAUUCCGGCACCUGGAUGUGGAUUAUCCGCGGCAACGCAACUGAAGGUGGAGACGUCGGCGGGGGCCCCGGGAAGAGUUCUCUUUUCUUCUUAACUGUCUAUCACCCUGAAAUCGGUUUGUCCGGAGCUAGGGUUUAAUGGCAGGUAGAGCAGCACACCUUUGUGCUGUCCGGUGCGCUCUCGACGACCCUUGAAAAUCCGCCGGAAGGAAUGAUUUUCACGCGAGGUCGUACUCAUAACCGCAGCAG